UACAGAAGGUGCGAACGUUAAUCGGAAUUACUGGGCGUAAAGCGCACGUAGGUGGCGACGUAAGUCGGGUGUGAAAGCUCCGGGCUCAACCUGGGAAUUGCAUUCGAUACUGCAUUGCUGGAGUACGGAAGAGGAGGGCGGAAUUCCCGGUGUAGCGGUGAAAUGCGUAGAUAUCGGGAGGAACAUCAGUGGCGUAGGAGGCCCUCUGGUCCAGUACUGACACUCAAGUGCGAAAGCGUGGGGAGCAAACAGG
rnacentral:rRNA from 1 species